rnacentral:lncRNA from 1 species
AAAAGUUGAUGAAGAAAACAAAAACAAAGAGAGGAGAGAGAUGGGGUCCACUUGGCGAAAGGAUACAGUGAGGAACAGCUCAGAGGGAUGCGGACGGCAGAGCAGGUAGGUUGGAUUAAAACAUGAUGGUGGGGAUGACGUGGAUACCCUUACGUUUUUGUUUUUGUUUUUAGAGAGAGAAAGAGAGUAUUAAAUAAAUAUGUGUAGCGUACGUGUGUAAAGUUGUCUGCAAAAUUUUGCAUGCAAGUGAGUAGAGGAGAGAUAGU